GACGAACGCUGGCGGCGUGCUUAACACAUGCAAGUCGAACGGAAAGGCCCUGCUUUUGUGGGGUGCUCGAGUGGCGAACGCGUGAGUAACACGUGAGUAACCUGCCCUUGACUUUGGGAUAACUUCAGGAAACUGGGGCUAAUACCGGAUAGGAUCUCCUGCUGCAUGUUGGUGGUUGGAAAGUUUCGGCGGUUGUGGCUGGACUCGCGGCUUAUCAGCUUGUUUGUGUGGUAGUGGCUUACCAAGGCUUUGACGGGUAGCCGGCAUGAGAGGGUGGACGGCGACAAUGGGACUGCGAUAGGGAGCAGAAGCCUAUGGGACGCAGCAGUGGGGAGUCUUGCAGAACAGGCGGGAGUCUGAGGUAGAGACGCUGGGUGCGGGAUGAUGGGCUUUGGGUUAUGAACAGAUUUCGAAUGUGCCGAAGAGUGAGUGACGGUAAUGGGUAAAGAAGCCACGGCUAACUACGUG
rnacentral:rRNA from 1 species